UGAUGGGCUAUUAUUCUAGUCCCAUUUAUAUUUCGUUGGGCCAGUUUAAUUCAUCAUUUUGGCCGAUUAAAUUGCCUUUUUGGGCUAAGAUUAAUUCUUUUCAGUCCACAUUAAUUAUUAUUUGGACCCCUAUUUUAAUUGUUUUGGGUCGAAGACUUUUUAAGUUGGGCUUUAAUUCUUUUAAAGCUUGAGCUGAAGUUACUCCUUUGAGCUAAGCCUAGCAGUAUCAAUUUUUGAUGGAGCCCAAUUAUUUAUCAGUAAUGAGCCGCCCAGUUUAUUAAUUAAUGUUUUUGGACUUCCGACUUUAAAGCAAGCCAUUAUUGUUUAUUUCAUUUAAGCCACUGGUUUAUUUAAUUAAUUGGCUACUCUCUUUUGAGCCUAUUAAUUAUUUGAGGUUACGCUAGUAAUGAUGCUUCUAUCGAAAAGCCCGAUAAUUUCUACAAGGUCACACCUCGUUUAAAGCCGAGUUAGUCCUUUUUCAAUCAAGUACAAAUGCGAGGUUUAUUUCACGACUAGAAUAUUCCGAUGAGGAAGGAAGAAUCACAGUUUUAUUCGACCGCGCUAGACGAGAAUUAGCUAAAUCUAUUAACGAGGAUUAAUAGUAGAAUUCCCGAUUAUCGCUCAGAGUAUUAGUUCAUGCAUACCAGAUUCAUGCAUAGUUAAAUUACGCUUUCUCAUUAAUUAAGAAUUUUCCUCGAGGCAAUGUCUUAUUUUAUAUUCUCGUGAUUAAGGUCAAGCGCGAGAGUAAGAACUACACAAGGAGUUAGAGUACCUUAGCAAAACUUUGCUAUCAGGUUGAGCUGUGAUGGGCGAUGAAGUGUUGUUGCUGAGUAGAGCUUUUGUCGAACUUAAAGUAGGCUCAGAAAGGAUACAUGUCUUCAUACAUGUAUCUCAGUUAUGCUUUCCGCUAUAAAUACUGAUUAUUUCAGUUACGCCUUCCGUUGCAAACUCUGAUAAUGUUUUAGCCAAGCCCCUAACGAUGCCUUUUUCCUUUUUAAGGAAUAUUUCACACGUAUUCAA